UACGGAGGAUCCAAGCGUUAUCCGGAAUCAUUGGGCGUAAAGAGCGUGUAGGCGGCCCGGUAAGUCCGCUGUGAAAGUCGGGGGCUCAACCCUCGAAUGCCGGUGGAUACUGUCGGGCUAGAGUGCGGAAGAGGCGAGUGGAAUUCCUGGUGUAGCGGUGAAAUGCGCAGAUAUCAGGAGGAACACCGAUUGCGAAGGCAGCUCGCUGGGACGUAACUGACGCUGAGACGCGAAAGCGUGGGGAGCAAACAGG
rnacentral:rRNA from 1 species